rnacentral:rRNA from 1 species
ACUCGCAGAAUAAGCACCGGCUAACUCUGUGCCAGCAGCCGCGGUAAUACAGAGGGUGCGAGCGUUAAUCGGAUUUACUGGGCGUAAAGCGUGCGUAGGCGGCUUUUUAAGUCGGAUGUGAAAUCCCCGAGCUUAACUUGGGAAUUGCAUUCGAUACUGGGAAGCUAGAGUAUGGGAGAGGAUGGUAGAAUUCCAGGUGUAGCGGUGAAAUGCGUAGAGAU